GGCGGCAGGCCUAACACAUGCAAGUCGAGCGCGCCUUCGGGUGAGCGGCGGACGGGUUAGUAACGCGUGGGAACGUGCCCUUUUCUACGGAAUAGCCUCUGGAAACGGAGAGUAAUACCGUAUACGCCCUUUGGGGGAAAGAUUUAUCGGAGAAGGAUCGGCCCGCGUUAGAUUAGGUAGUUGGUGGGGUAACGGCCUACCAAGCCUACGAUCUAUAGCUGGUUUUAGAGGAUGAUCAGCAACACUGGGACUGAGACACGGCCCAGACUCCUACGGGAGGCAGCAGUGGGGAAUCUUAGACAAUGGGGGCAACCCUGAUCUAGCCAUGCCGCGUGAGUGAUGAAGGCCUUAGGGUCGUAAAGCUCUUUCGCCUGUGAUGAUAAUGACAGUAGCAGGUAAAGAAACCCCGGCUAACUCCGUGCCAGCAGCCGCGGUAAUACGGAGGGGGUUAGCGUUGUUCGGAAUUACUGGGCGUAAAGCGCGCGUAGGCGGAUUGGAAAGUUGGGGGUGAAAUCCCGGGGCUCAACCCCGGAACUGCCUCCAAAACUGCUAGUCUAGAGUUCGAGAGAGGUGAGUGGAAUUCCGAGUGUAGAGGUGAAAUUCGUAGAUAUUCGGAGGAACACCAGUGGCGAAGGCGGCUCACUGGCUCGAUACUGACGCUGAGGUGCGAAAGUGUGGGGAGCAAACAGGAUUAGAUACCCUGGUAGUCCACACCGUAAACGAUGAAUGCCAGUCGUCGGAUAGUAUACUAUUCGGUGACACACCUAACGGAUUAAGCAUUCCGCCUGGGGAGUACGGUCGCAAGAUUAAAACUCAAAG
rnacentral:rRNA from 1 species